AGAAAAGGCGCGUCUCUCUGCCCUCGCUUUCCAACUCGCUUCCUGCUGUCGACCCACAAGAUUAAAGCAGAUAGAUAUGGCACGAAAAUCUCGAACUGAAAUUUUGUGUUGAAUCGGUAACUUAUAGCUCGGCUGCUCCAUGUGGACAUGUGGAGGGAGUGCAGUCCAUGAAACUGUACACUAGAUGUCGACCAACCACCGUGAUACUAUCAAGUGCAUUUAAGACUGCUUGGGGGGAUGUCUGUGUUUCUGACUGACAGAGGGAACAACAGCGGUCUUUCUGAAACUUUGGACCAGAGACAACCCUCGGAGAGCCAGUCCUCUGUCACCAGCAACCAGACCAGAACAAACUGUUAAAGCCGCAUAGCCAUUUUGAAUAUGCUUCAUAUGGAAACUCCAUUAUCAUCAUCAUCAUAAGCCUGAGGAGGUGGAAAGUCUUAGUGCCUGACCUCCUGCUCCAGAGAAAAGGCUGGCUGCUCCACACGGGACAACAGAUCUGGCACCAAAUCAAGGACCCUGGUUGACCACAAUCUGGAGAUGCUCUACCCUCUUCCGUGAUGGUCUAAAUUUAUCGCUGGUCUCCUCUGAGGCCUGAGCAGGUGG